GGAGCCUAGGCUAUGCGCUAGUAGGCUCACUAGGCUAGCUGCUAUACUCACCGCUGCUGUGCCUAGCAGUGGCUAUGGCAUCUAAAAAUCAACUGAAUGGAAGAGCUGUUCACCGCACUGUAUCAGUAGGUGAUUCACUCUAUGUGUGGGCUGGUAAACAGGAUGGUUUACCUAAAGUACAUGAUAGUGAAGAGAAGAGAAGGAUCGCUAGUAAUAUACAGCACUUUACUCCUUCAACUGGUCAAUGGA